rnacentral:rRNA from 1 species
GACGAACGCUGGCGGCGUGCUUAACACAUGCAAGUCGAGCGGAAAGGCCCUUCGGGGUCCUCGAGCGGCGAACGGGUGAGUAACACGUGAGUAACCUGCCCUAGGCUUUGGGAUAACCCCGGGAAACCGGGGCUAAUACCGGAUAUGACCUGGUGCCGCAUGGUGUUGGGUGGAAAGUUUUUUCGGCCUGGGAUGGGCUCGCGGCCUAUCAGCUUGUUGGUGGGGUGAUGGCCUACCAAGGCGAUGACGGGUAGCCGGCCUGAGAGGGCGACCGGCCACACUGGGACUGAGACACGGCCCAGACUCCUACGGGAGGCAGCAGUGGGGAAUAUUGCACAAUGGGCGGAAGCCUGAUGCAGCGACGCCGUGUGAGGGAUGAAGGCCUUCGGGUUGUAAACCUCUUUCAGCAGGGACGAAGCGUGAGUGACGGUACCUGCAGAAGAAGCGCCGGCCAACUACGUG